rnacentral:rRNA from 1 species
UACACACCGCCCGUCACACCAUGGGAGUGGGUUGCACCAGAAGUAGCUAGUCUAACCGCAAGGGGGACGGUUACUACGGUGUGAUUCAUGACUGGGGUG